rnacentral:rRNA from 1 species
AGAGCGAACGCUGGCGGCAGGCUUAGCACAUGCAAGUCGAGCGGGCGUAGCAAUACGUCAGCGGCAGACGGGUGAGUAACGCGUGGGAACAUACCUUUUGGUUCGGAACAACCCAGGGAAACUUGGGCUAAUACCGGAUAAGCCCUUACGGGGAAAGAUUUAUCGCCGAAAGAUUGGCCCGCGUCUGAUUAGCUAGUUGGUGAGGUAACGGCUCACCAAGGCGACGAUCAGUAGCUGGUCUGAGAGGAUGAUCAGCCACAUUGGGACUGAGACACGGCCCAAACUCCUACGGGAGGCAGCAGUGGGGAAUAUUGGACAAUGGGCGCAAGCCUGAUCCAGCCAUGCCGCGUGAGUGAUGAAGGCCCUAGGGUUGUAAAGCUCUUUUGGCGGGACGAGUGAUGACGGUACCCGCAGAAUAAGCCCGGCUAACUUCGCGCCAGCAGCCGC